rfam:Papio anubis isolate 1X1155 chromosome 4, whole genome shotgun sequence.
GCCUGGGCAACAGAGCCAGACUCUGUCUAAAAAAAAAAAAAAAAAAAAAACUUGAUGGUGCCCAUCUCAUGUCAGCCACAACCCCUUGUUUAUCCCAGCUUGGCUUCUGGUCUAUGCCCAUGCCUGGUUUAUGCUUUGGACACAUAG